CACCAAUAAACUCAACCCUAGUUUAAGUUAUUUUGUUCUAGUUGGAAAAAUCACUGGGUUCUCCCGUUAUUCUAAUUCCCUUCGCUCACUGGGCGCCAUCCCUUCCUUCAACCACCACCAUCCUCUGCAAUGUCAGACCGACGCGAGAGGGACCGAGACCGAGACCGAGACCGUGACCGCGAUAGAGAACGCAGACGAGACCGAGAUAUUCGCGAUCGAGACCGGGACCGAGACAGAGAGCGAGUCAGGGAACGGACGCGCAGCAAGAGAUCUCGAACACCAGAGCGGACCCGAUCUCGUCACACACGCUCUUCUACGCGUUCCCCUGACCGUGAACGCCGUUCACAUUCCCGUUCUCAUACGCGCUCCCCGGAACGCGCUUCCCACCGUCAUCCCCGGCACCGAACACCAUCGAACGAGCCCCCUAGGAAACGUCACCGCCACGAAAGCGAGGAAAGGGAGAAGGAUAGGCAAAAGGCCGUGUCGGAUUUUGUGGACGAUACAGCUAGAGAGAAGCAGCAAAAGAAAGGAACCAUUAAUAAUGAGAAUGAGAAUGGGGAUGUGGAUGCAGGAGAGGAGAAUGAGAUGGAGAUGAUGAAGAAGUUAGGGAUUCCAGUUGGUUUUGAUUCCACCAAAGGGAAACAUGUACCUGGAGCUGAUAUCAGUGGAGUUAGGGCUGUGACUAAGCGGCAGCCCAGGCAGUAUAUGAAUCGAAGAGGCGGGUUUAAUCGUCCGUUGCCUGCCGAGCGCAACCGCUAGAAUGGAUUAGUGGAUGAAAGCAUUUUCAAGGGUAGUCGUCUUCCUAGAACUGGGAUUGGUCAUCCAUUUUGAGUGCUUAUGGCAUGAAAAACAAGGCCUAUUUGAUGAUGUUUG